UGGAUUAGAAUGGAAUAGACAUCACAAGGAACUAUUAAGUGGUCAUGGAUUUAGUACAAGUGCACAUCACAACCAAAUUUGUUUGUGGAGGUAUCCAUCCAUGACCAAAGUGGGAGGUUUGGACCGUCAUGCUUCCAGAGUCCUCCAUCUAAGUCAGAGUCCAGAUGGGUUAACAGUGGUGUCAGCUGGGGCAGAUGAAACUCUCCGCUUUUGGGAUGUGUUUGGACCUGUCACUAACACUUCUGAGAUCUCAGAUCUGGCUAGCCUCUUGUCUCUCAAGGUGUCCCCAUUAAGAUGAUGGAAGCAAGACAAUUUUGUUCAUUCAUGAUUACAUUCUUAUGUGUAAAUAGUAAUGUUCACAUUGCUCUGAAUACAGCUUUGAUUUUUUAA